rnacentral:rRNA from 1 species
GACGAACGCUGGCGGCGUGCCUAACACAUGCAAGUCGAACGGUGUGUUUAUUUAUAAACACUUAGUGGCGAACGGGUGAGUAACGCGUAGACAACCUACCCUCUAGAUGGGGACAACACCGCGAAAGUGGUGCUAAUACCGAAUGUUGUAAUGUUGUUGCAUAAUGAUAUUACUAAAGGUGGCCUCUAUAUAAAAGCUACCGCUAGAAGAUGGGUCUGCGUCUGAUUAGCUAGUUGGUGAGAUAACAGCUCACCAAGGCAAUGAUCAGUAGCCGGUCUGGGAGGAUGAACGGCCUCACUGGGACUGAGACACGGCCCAGACUCCUACGGGAGGCAGCAGUGGGGAAUCUUCCGCAAUGGACGAAAGUCUGACGGGGCAACGCCGCGUGAGUGAAGAAGGUUUUCGGAUCGUAAAGCUCUGUCUUCAAGGACGAAUGUAGAUAUUGUGAAUAAUGAUAUUUAAUGACGGUACUUGAGGAGGAAGCCACGGCUAACUACGUGCCAGCCGCCGCGGUAA